UAGGGAAUCUUCCACAAUGGACGCAAGUCUGAUGGAGCAACGCCGCGUGAGUGAAGAAUGUUUUCGGAUCGUAAAGCUCUGUUGUUGGUGAAGAAGGAUAGAGGCAGUAACUGGUCUUUAUUUGACGGUAAUCAACCAGAAAGUCACGGCUAACUACGUGCCAGCAGCCGCGGUAAUACGUAGGUGGCAAGCGUUGUCCGGAUUUAUUGGGCGUAAAGCGAGCGCAGGCGGAAUGAUAAGUCUGAUGUGAAAGCCCACGGCUCAACCGUGGAACUGCAUCGGAAACUGUCAUUCUUGAGUGCAGAAGAGGAGAGUGGAAUUCCAUGUGUAGCGGUGGAAUGCGUAGAUAUAUGGAAGAACACCAGUGGCGAAGGCGGCUCUCUGGUCUGCAACUGACGCUGAGGCUCGAAAGCAUGGGUAGCGAACAGG
rnacentral:rRNA from 1 species